UACAGAGGGUGCGAGCGUUAAUCGGAAUUACUGGGCGUAAAGCGUGCGUAGACGGUUAUUUAAGUCGGAUGUGAAAGCCCCGGGCUCAACCUGGGAAUUGCAUUCGAGACUGAACAGCUAGGGUGCGGUAGAGGGAAGCGGAAUUUCCGGUGUAGCGGUGAAAUGCGUAGAUAUCGGAAGGAACAUCAGUGGCGAAAGCGGCUUCCUGGACCAGCACCGACGUUCAGGCACGAAAGCGUGGGGAGCAAACAGG
rnacentral:rRNA from 1 species